UACGGAGGGUGCGAGCGUUGUCCGGAAUCAUUGGGCGUAAAGGGCGCGUAGGUGGCCCGGUCAGUUCGUGGUGAAAGCGCGGGGCUCAACCCUGCGUCGGCCAUGAAUACUGCCGCGGCUGGAGCACUGUAGAGGCAGGCGGAAUUCCGGGGUGUAGCGGUGGAAUGCGUAGAGAUCCGGAAGAACACCGGUGGCGAAGGCGGCCUGCUGGGCAGUUGCUGACACUGAGGCGCGAC
rnacentral:rRNA from 1 species